rnacentral:rRNA from 1 species
AACGGCCGCGGUACCUGAGCCGUGCAAAGGUAGCAUAAUCACUUGCCCUUUAAUUGGGGGCUAGUAUGAAUGGACACACGAAAAUAUACUGUCUCCUAACCAAAAAUAGAAACUAGAACUCAAGUGAAGAUACUUGAAUAUCACUUCAAGACAAGAAGACCCUACAGAGCUUUAUUAAUUAUGUAUUACAUUACCUCACCACAACUUUCAUUAAUUUGGUUGGGAUGACCAAAGACCAAUAAAACCGUCUUUCUCAAUUUUGGACAACAAUCAAAUCACCCAUUACUGUACACGACGCAGCUACCUUAGGGAUAACAGGCUAAUCCCGCUAGAGAGAUCACAUUGACAGCGGGGGUUGGCACCUCGAUGUUGGCUUAGUGAACCCUCUGAGCGCAGCAGCCCAGACGAGUCGGUUUGUUCAACCGUUAAAACACUACGUGAUCUGAUUUCCAGACCAGACUU